rnacentral:misc_RNA from 1 species
GUGAAUCAUCAAAUUUUUGAACGCAUAUUGCACUCUCUGGUAUUCCGGAGAGUAUGCCUGUUUGAGGGUCAGCCUAAAAAAAAUCGACGUAGUCGCUGUUUCGCGGUGACAUUCGUCGGAAAUUGGGUCAUCUUAAACCUUUGGGUUUUUUAAGCGGCUUAAAAUUUUCUUUACGAUUCCACGAACGUUUCUAAGUUUUACUUACACGUUUAGGGUAUC